rnacentral:rRNA from 1 species
AUUGAACGCUGGCGGCAUGCCUAACACAUGCAAGUCGGACGCGAAAGGGCUUCGGCCUGAGUAGAGUGGCGGACGGGUGAGUAAUGCGUGGGAAUCUGCCUUGCAGUGGGGGACAACCCGGGGAAACUCGGGCUAAUACCGCAUACGACCUACGGGGGAAAGGGGGCCUUCGGGCUCUCGCUGCAAGGUGAGCCCACGUCCGAUUAGCUAGUUGGUAGGGUAAAGGCCUACCAAGGCGACGAUCGGUAGCUGGUCUGAGAGGAUGAUCAGCCACACUGGGACUGAGACACGGCCCAGACUCCUACGGGAGGCAGCAGUGGGGAAUAUUGGACAAUGGGCGCAAGCCUGAUCCAGCAAUGCCGCGUGUGUGAAGAAGGCCUGCGGGUUGUAAAGCACUUUCAGUGGGGAAGAAAAGCGGGAUGCUAAUACCAUCCUGUCUUGACGUUACCCACAGAAGAAGCACCGGCUAACUCCGUGCCAGCCGCCGCAGUAAAAC